GACGUAGGGCGCGAGCGUUGUCCGGAUUUAUUGGGCGUAAAGAGCUCGUAGGCGGCUUGUCGCGUCGUUCGUGAAAACCCACAGCUCAACUGUGGGCUUGCGGGCGAUACGGGCAGGCUAGAGUUCGGUAGGGGAGACUGGAAUUCCUGGUGUAGCGGUGAAAUGCGCAGAUAUCGGGAGGAACACCGGUGGCGAAGGCGGGUCUCUGGGCCGAUACUGACGCUGAGGAGCGAAAGCGUGGGGAGCGAACAGG
rnacentral:rRNA from 1 species